rnacentral:rRNA from 1 species
CUCAAAGAUUAAGCCAUGCAAGUGGUUAUUUCACAAUAACCCGACAGUUUAAAUAAGUGUUCUCUGUCGUAAUAAUAAUAUACACAAAAUACACACACACACACACACAUAAGUUAUCACUUAUGCAACUGCAGACAGCUGCUUAAUACAGUUACACUUGUCUUGACUUUGGUAUUAUAAACGCUCGUAUAACAUGUUAUGUUAUGCUGCGUGUCACGUAUAUAUGAGACAACAUAUGUAUGAACCCAAUUGAUUUCUCUGUAAUGAGAUAUUCAUAUAUUUAUAACCACGCGUUACACUGUGAAUUUAUAUAUUAUGGAUAACUCAGGGAAAGUUUGGCUAAUACGUACGAGUCAAUUAUUAUACACAAACACACACACACACACAUAAUAUAAUCUAUUCAGCACUUAUUGGAUCGUGAGAGACAAUAAGCACGCAUAUAUCAUAUUAUAUGUUACGCUGAGCAGACAUUACAGUAAAAUGUGAUGCAUGUCAUACAAGCAUUUAUAGCAUCAAGUCACAGGGUUGGCAAGUGUAUUUUUGAACCUUCAAAGCAGUCACGCAUACGGAAGAGUAGUUUCUGAUCCCAUAGAAGGAGCACCGUCCAAUGAGAGACCGCUCUUAGUUCUAAGGAACGCAGCAGGCGCGUAAAUUGCCCAAUGUUAGUACCUUUUUAUUAAGGUUUCUAUCAUAUAAGCUAAUUUGCGAUACGUAUAUUAUUACACACACACACACACUUAUACACAAACUAUCAUGCAUAGCAUAUAAUAAUCCUUGUUACACNGAGGCAGUGACAAGCUGUAACGGUUGAGUAUUUUCAAUAGACAAGUGUCUGGCAUUGCCGCCUCACAUUCACGUGUAAGGCUUGGCAUUUCGCCGACACUUCGUAUGCUCAAUUGGAAUGCGGUGAGUUUAAUACACUCAGAACCUUUAUAUUGUGAUUUAUUUUUACAAUAUAAGUAUCUGAAUCUCUCAAGUGGAGGGCAAGUCUGGUGCCAGCAGCCGCGGUAAUACCAGCUCCACUAGCCUAUACAAUCAUUGUUGCGGUUAAGAGGCUCGUAGUUGGAUUGAACUAUUUACUCACACUAAAUAGUUACGUCCCGUAUAUUUAUAUACGGGUCGACACUAUUUUUUUAUGCAUAUUAUAUAUAUUAANACACACACACACACACAUACAUACAUAUUCAACACUGUGAACAAANCAGAGUGUAUCAAACAUGUCAUAUUAUUAUGAAUGCGCAUUAAAUGUCUUAUCAUGGAAUGUUGCACUCUCAUAAAAUAUUGUACGUGCGCGCACUAAUUUGAACGCAGUGUAUGUAUGUAUCUACUCACGCGCGUAUAUUUAUUUAUACACACGUACAAUAUUAUAUAUAUAUUACGCAUAAUAAAAAUAUAUGUCGAUGGAGAUAGUUGGAGUCAAGAGUACUGUCGGGCGAGCGGUGAAAUGCGUUGACCCUGGCAAGACUACCAGAAGCGAAAGCGCUUGGCUAGGCUAUUCUCUUUGUGAAUAUCACAUAUUAUAUCGUCUCACACACCCCUCGAUAUUUAUGUGUGACACUCUACAACGAAGAACGAAGGUUGGGGGAUCAAAGAGGAUCAGAUACCCUCGUCGUCCCAUUGUUUACAUCAAACGAUGGGCUCUCAUUCGCACAAAAUAUAAAAUUCUAUUUUAUAUGCUGUGAGAAUAAUCCCUCCCGACCAACAAAAAAUAAUGACUUGAGCUUUGCUAAUAUACAUUCACGUGUAUUUUAGCGCUCGUCAUAAUUUUUUACUACGUCUCUCGAAGGACUUUUCCCAUAUAAAAAUUAAUUUUUUUAUAUAUGCGUGUAAGCAUUUAUAUGUAACAUCUCUGUUACGUAUAUAGCGUGCACCUGAUUUUCGGAGCUUUGCGCUCAACUCAUCUGGUGAGAUGUAAGCACUAUGUCUUAUAUACUUGUAUAUUCGACAAUCAUUAGUGUGAUGCACGCUUUAGGCACGCGCUUACUGCAGAAAUGUCUGAGACAUUCCCCUCCGGGGGUAGUAUGCACGCAAGUGUGAAACUUGAAGGAAUUGACGGAAGGGCACCACAAGAACGCGUGGAGCAUGUGGCUUAAUCUGACUCAACGCGGAAAAUCUUACCGGGUCCGGACACACUGAGGAUUGACAGGUUCAUCAUCAUGUGAUGUGUUUUUCACGGAACACAUUACAUGCACACACAAAAAUGCUAGUCCUUUCAUGAUUAUGUGAUAGGUGGUGCAUGGCCGUUCUUAGUUCGUGGAGUGAUCUGUCUGCUUAAUUGCGUAUCACUUUUAACGUGUAUCAAACAUAUAUUCAAUAUGUACUGACCUUGUUCACGCAUGCGUCUAUACAUUGAGAAUAUAUUUACACGUUGAUAGCAACGAACGUGACCGUAAUCCCUUGUUGCGAUAUUCACCUACUCUCACCCCGUGUUAAUAUCGCUAACUAGGGAGACCGCUGUAUUCUUUCUUAAACCAGAGGAAGGUUACGGCAAUAACAGGUCUGUGAUGCCCUUAGAUGUUCCGGGCCGCACACGUGCUACACUGAUUAUUGCAGUGAGUAUCUUACUUAACUUGCUAUGUGUAUGCGUGUAUGUUUACAUACACAAAUACACGCUCAAAUAGCCUGCUUCGAAAGUUACCUCGCGGGUAAUCAAUUAGCAGUAAUGAUUUUCCAUCAUACAUGCACAUUAUGUACGUAUAUUAUACCCAGUGUGUGAUUUAUCACACACUCGUGUGUAUAAUAUUACACGUACGUGCAUUUUAUCAAUUCAUGGUGGGGACAGACUAUUGUUAAUUAUUAGUCUCGGUUUCAACUAGGAAUGCCUUGUACUGGUUAGUUCAACAAACUACCAGGAAUACGUCCCUGCCCUUUGUACACACCGCCCGUCGCUCUUACCGAUGAACUAUACUGUGAGUUUAUUGGACUCAUACAUUAAAAUUUCCAUUUUAUGUAUGGGAAAAAUGCACGAACAGUGUGGUUUAAAGGAAAGAGAAGUCGAACAAGGCA